UGGGGAAUAUUGCACAAUGGGCGCAAGCCUGAUGCAGCCAUGCCGCGUGUAUGAAGAAGGCCUUCGGGUUGUAAAGUACUUUCAGCGGGGAGGAAGGGAGUAAAGUUAAUACCUUUGCUCAUUGACGUUACCCGCAGAAGAAGCACCGGCUAACUCCGUGCCAGCAGCCGCGGUAAUACGGAGGGUGCAAGCGUUAAUCGGAAUUACUGGGCGUAAAGCGCACGCCGGCGGUUUGUUAAGUCAGAUGUGAAAUCCCCGGGCUCAACCUGGGAACUGCAUCUGGUACUGGCAAGCUUGUGUCCGGUAGAGGGGGGUAGUAUACCAGGUGUAGCGGUGAAAUACGUAGAGAUCUGGAGGAAUACCGGUGGCGAAGGCGGCCCCCUGGACAAAGACAGACGCUCAGGUGCGAAAGAGUGGGGAGCAAGCAGG
rnacentral:rRNA from 1 species